CUACGUAGGGUGCAAGCGUUAAUCGGAAUUACUGGGCGUAAAGCGUGCGCAGGCGGUUUUGUAAGACAGUGGUGAAAUCCCCGGGCUCAACCUGGGAACUGCCAUUGUGACUGCAAGGCUGGAGUGCGGCAGAGGGGGAUGGAAUUCCGCGUGUAGCAGUGAAAUGCGUAGAUAUGCGGAGGAACACCGAUGGCGAAGGCAGUCCCCUGGGCCUGCACUGACGCUCAUGCACGAAAGCGUGGGGAGCAAACAGGAUUAGAUACCCUGGUAGUCCACGCCCUAAACGAUGUCAACUGGUUGUUGGGGAUUUAUUUUCUCAGUAACGAAGCUAACGCGUGAAGUUGACCGCCUGGGGAGUACGGCCGCAAGGUUAAAACUCAAAGGAAUUGACGGGG
rnacentral:rRNA from 1 species